CAGAAUCAGGGCAGUUUUCUAAGUUUUAAUUCUAUCCGGGCCCGUGUGGACAAUCCAUUGUCAGCUGCCAUAGAAAAAAAAGCUGUCAUCUUGAACGCUGAGUGAAGCAUCUCAUUUUGCCGGCACUUAUUAUGAUUAGUAAUUCUCUCAGUUUUCCCAAUUUAUUGCCUUUUUUCAAUGAGAUUAGUAGUUGGUCGUGUUAAUUUUUAGGUUCGAACCAUGAGGGAUCUGUACUACUUAGAUCUCUGUGAAGCCCGUUGGAAGAUCAUCCAAAAGUGCCAGCAGGUUUUGACCGAAUCACACUCCAAUCUCUUUCCAUCUUCCUGUUGACCUUGCGUCUGGCUCUCUUCCUCUCUCAGCACGAAUCUCCAGCGCCGCCAUGGUUGCCUUCUGGGCGACUGGAGUCAAUGAAGAAGAUGAUGCACCAAGAGGAUCGCCUCGUGGAGCUUCUCCGACUUCCCAGGAGCAGCAUCCGACCCCACCUCCAGGAAGAAUCCCCCCACUACGAGAAGCAGAUACUCCAUUUUAAUGAUUCAGAAGGAAGAACAAUCGCCGGAGGGGGAGUAAAUAGUUUACCCAACAUGAGCGUUGACUUUCGGCCUGGUAACGGUGCUCCAGUCAACCAACGUGGGACUUCCCGUUGAGGGCCGUUGAUUCCCAUGUGAGGCGGCAAGCUGACGAGGGACCACCACUUUGGGAGACGUUUUAAUCUAUUCUGAGUUGAAAAUCCUCGAUCGUCUUCUGUUUAAUGUAGUGGGAUUCGGAUGAGCUUAGCAUAUUUCGCAUGUGAUAAUUUGCUGAGCAUUUUAUAUGAUAUAUGAAGGG
rnacentral:lncRNA from 1 species